rnacentral:snRNA from 1 species
AGAACACUCGAGUUCAUG